UGAGAAUGAGCGGCGUCUAUUGGGGCCUGA
rnacentral:piRNA from 1 species